GUGCUCGCUCCGGCAGCACAUGUACUAAAAUUGGAAUGAUACACAGAUUAGCAUGGCUCCUUGUGCAAGGAUGACACGCAGAUUUGUAUAAAGUGUUCCAUAUUUUC